GAUUAACGCUGGCGGCAUGCCUAAUACAUGCAAAUCGAACGAAGCCUUUUGGCUUAGUGGUGAACGGGUGAGUAACACGUAUCCAAUCUACCCUUAAGUUUGGGAUAACUAGUCGAAAGAUUAGCUAAUACCGGACAAUAACAUUCACUUGCAUGAGUGAAUGUGGAAGGUUGCGUUUGCAACGCUUUUGGAUGAGGGUGCAACGUAUCAGAUAGUUGGCGAGGUAACGGCUCGCCAAGUCAUUGACGCGUAGCUGUACUGAGAGGUAGAGCAGCCACAAUGGGACUGAGACACGGCCCAU
rnacentral:rRNA from 1 species